UACGGAGGGUGCGAGCGUUGUCCGGAAUCAUUGGGCGUAAAGGGCGCGUAGGUGGCCCGGUCAGUCUUUGGUGAAAGCGCGGGGCUCAACCCUGCGUCGGCCAGGGGAUACUGCCGCGGCUCGAGCACUGUAGAGGCAGGCGGAAUUCCGGGUGUAGCGGUGGAAUGCGUAGAGAUCCGGAAGAACACCGGUGGCGAAGGCGGCCUGCUGGGCAGUUUUGGCUGACACUGAGGCGCGACAGCGUGGGGGAGCAAACAGG
rnacentral:rRNA from 1 species